GAGAUUUCUAUGCUAAAAGUCUUAUCUUAAGUUCCAUUUUAACUGUAUCUCUUUACAGAUAUUACAGAAGGACACGUUAAUAUGAAGUUAAAAGCACCACCAGAAAGCAAUAAAGUGGACCACACAUAUGGACAAGGUGUGGACACCUGCAGACUGUCUUCUGCAGCUGAAGCCAUUGAAGGAUAAUUCAGAGAGAAAGAUGACAGAAUAAGAGAUGGAAAGAAAGAACUCAAGGCCUGUAAGAAGAUUCUGAAUGAAAAUAUUACAGAACUGAGGGAAGAGAACAAAAGAAUGGAAGCGGAAAGAAAAUUGCUCAAAGAGAACACCAAAGAGCAUGAGUAUGUCAAGGUAAAUAUGAAGGAGGUAUUCAGAAAACUGAAGGAAAGGAAGUAAGAAGAGGAAGAAAAUCACUGAGGGCAACAAUCAGAAACUGGAAGAACAGGAAAUAGAAAUAGAGGCAACAAGUAAAGACCUCCAGGAGGGAAAAAAAAAGAGAAUUGGAGGCAAAGAACAACGAACUCCGAGGGUGAAAAAAAUGCCUGGAAAAGAAGAACAAGGACCUCCAUCAGCAGAAGGAUGAAAUCAAGGCAAAGAGCAAAGACCUCAAGGAGAUUGUAAAAGAACUGGAAAACAAGAUGAAGGACCUCCAGAAUGAAGAGAAAGGCAAAGAGCAAAGACCUCCAAGAGGUUGCACACAUUUUUCAUGUAGUGGAGAAAUUGUGAGAAAGAGAAUAAAUUAACAGCACUUUUUUUCAUAAAACUUAUCGGGUCAAAAUUUACCCAGUCAAGCUGAAUGAAAAAUUCAGGAUUUUCAAAAAAAUCAUAAAACUUUCAACUGUGAUUGAAUGAAAACCCUAAAAGAUAUCAAAACAGAUUUAAUGAAUCACAUUGAAAGUCUUGAAACCAAUUUAAACUUUGAAUUAAUUUUCUACUGUAAAGUAUGCCAGAGCCACAGGGGUCUAAAGAUGGCUGGGUUUUGGCAGUUGUAGGUCAAUUUCCUAUUCAUUUCAAUAAGUUUUUUUUUUUAGACAGCUUUUUACAAAUCACUAUUGGUAUCGAAGUAGAAUUUACAGCAAAUCAGUGCUUCAGUUGUUGGAAACAAUUAUGUAACAAAGUCUGACAGAUGUGACAGAAGAUCUGAAGCUGUGUUGAAGUAUAAAACUUUCCUCUGUUGCCACUUUUACAUCAUAUUUAAAUAGCUAAAGCUGGAAUCAACUGUGACUUAGAUUCAGUUAUCACAAAAAAACAUUGGUGGUUUUCUAUCAUUUACAAAGAAAUGACUUGUUUGUCUGUUGGGGCUGUUUUGAUUUUCACUUGCGUAAAUGGAAAUUCACUCAUCAGGACUGCGUAUGUGGAGAGACAAACAAAAGGAGGUGCUAACUUUGUGAUUGUCCAGCAGAGGGCAGGAUUUAUGCCUUCACCAAACAGUAGAUGCACUAGAAGCAUGUCAGAACAUGUCCAGAGCAUCUUCGUGUGAGGAACAAGGCCCAGAAUCUCCCUUUUUGUUGCCAGGAUUGUCCCCAUCACAAGGACACUGAUCGUUGAUGAUGAAACGAAGGUUAGGAAUCGGAAAUGCACUGCUGUUUACAUACUUGUUUGGUUGUGUGCAUAAUGUCCUGGGUUCUUGACUACUUUCACCAAAAAUGGAAACAACACCGGCACUGAACCCAAAAGAAUUAAUCUGCAUUGAUUGGAAAGCAGUCGUCCAUUAAACUGAUGAUUGAAUGUGUCACUGAUGUCCUGCCAGAGUCGCUUUUUAAUCAGCAAAUGUGGUUUUUCAUGACUUGGUUCUAAUUUUUGUUUAUCAGAAUUGGAAAUACAGUUGUUGUCAUUCAAGGUCAGAAAUACAAACAGUACAAAAUAUAUAGGUAAGCAUAAGUAGAACAAUAUGACCUAAAAUAUAAACAUAAGUAGAAACAGUAUUAGCAUAUGUAGAAUGUGCUUUUCCUUAGAAAUAAAGUAUACAGUGUAAUAAAUACCGUGUUAUUGCAUGUCAUUGAAAUAUUAAAUGCAGAUUGGCAUAAUCUUGUUUCGCUAUUUUAACUGCUAAAUAACAAGCAGUUAGAAAUGCAAAACAAUAUAGCUAUCUUUUACGUUGUAGAACUGCUUCCAGAAUAAAUGUAACUUGGCUUCUAGGAUUUAGCCACUAGCCUGGGUUGGCCUGCUUUGUAAGAAGUGCAUCAGUGACCAACCUGUGCUGUUCGCCUUCCCCCAUCUUCAGAGCUGAAUCUGUGCUGGAAACUGUCCAAGCUUUCAGACAUCAGCCUUAUUUUACUGUUAGUAGAUCCCAUCACAGCUAUGUUAAGUUGCUGCUCAUGUAAACUAAACUUUUUCUUUCUUUUUUGUCUAGGAAAAGCAAGAAAAUUCCAUUUGUUUAUCAUAGGGUUAGCAGAGCUUCAUUACAGCUACAUACCUGUCUGUACAGUGCAAUGGAAAACCACUUCUAGCAAGUGGAAUUGUAGCUAUUUUAAUAAUCACCAGCUAUUUUCAUAAUCGAUUAUCUGGUUUUAGUAUAUUUACAGGAAAAUAAAGUCUAAAUGUUGUGGUUUUGGCUUCCUAAAUGUUAAUAUGUUCUGAUGUCUUUCCUCCUCUUGGACAGUAAACUGAAUAUUUUUACAUUGUGAAAGAAAACAAACAUGUUCAUACAUAA